UUGUUCGUUGGUUUAUUACUGGAAUGAAACCAUUCCCAUUUCCACGUCAGUAAUGUAGCAACGUUUACUCGAAUAUUACAAAGUAUCGGCAUGGUGACAGAUAAAAUGUAGGGGUCAUAUUUCAUCACGUAUGUGGAAACGGUGAAAAACAUAAAUUAGCGUUACUAACUACGCAGCCACCGUGUAGAAAAUAUAUGGAGGUACCAAUCAGGCAUUAUCCCGACCCUUCGUGAGAUUGAGAAGAUGGUGAUGUGGACCAUUUAGAAUAGAUUGACUAUCCAGCCGACCUCCGUCGCCAACAGAUGAGAAUGCCUUUGACCAACGUUUCAGUGUACUUUGAGGAAUUUAAGUUUGCCGUUUUUGCUCCAUAAUCCACCCCCAUUAUUGGUGCUGGAUUGCGGGGCAAGAUCGUCAAACUUAAAUUCGUCCAAUUACAAUAAUUUUAUUUAGUUAACAAAUUAACUUACCUAUCAGAAAAAAUGUAUUAGAAAUUUUUUGUUUGUCCGAAAACUAGAUAAAUAGUACGACAAUAAAUUGUGCUGUAGGAAAUAUAUA